AAACGAUUGAAGUCAGUCGUGUCUGUUGGUUUCAGCCGGUCCUGCCGGUGUAUUACCAACAGACGGGUCAACAUCAGUUUUGAGCGGUGGAAAAAGGUGGAAGGAACGUAGCUCCCCCGGGAGUGUUAUAGCCUUCUAUUGCAUACACUGCUUGAGACUGAGGAAUGCAGCUCGCCUUUAUGGCCGGGGUUCGCCCACGUUCGAGCUUAGGAUGUUGACAUAAUGGCUUUAAACGA
rnacentral:rRNA from 1 species